rnacentral:lncRNA from 1 species
UUUCCCUUUAAUCAGGAUUAGGGUUUUAAACCCUAAACUGAACUUUUCCCUUUAAUUAGGAUUAGGGUUUUAAACCCUAAACUGAACUUUUUCCCUUUAGUCAGCAUUAGAGUUUUAAACCCUAAAUUGAACUUUUUCCCUUCAGUCAGCAUUAGGGUUUUAAACCCUUAACUGAACUUUUCCCUUUAAUCAGGAUUAGGGUUUUAAACCCUAAACUGAACUUUUCCCUUUAAUCAGGAUUAGGGUUUUAAACCCUAAACUGAACUUUUUCCCUUUAGUCAGCAUUAGGGUUUUAAACCCUAAACUGAACUUUUUCCCUUCAGUCAGCAUUAGGGUUUUAAACCCUUAACUGAACUUUUCCCUUUAAUCAGGAUUAGGGUUUUAAACCCUAAACUGAACUUUUUCCUUUAAUUAGGAUUAGGGUUUUAAACCCUAAACUGAACUUUUUCCCUU